rnacentral:rRNA from 1 species
UACGUAGGGUGCGAGCGUUGUCCGGAAUUAUUGGGCGUAAAGAGCUCGUAGGCGGUGUGUCGCGUCGGCCGUGAAAACCUGCAGCUUAACUGUGGGCUUGCGGUCGAUACGGGCAUCACUGGAGUUCGGCAGGGGAGACUGGAAUUCCUGGUGUAGCGGUGAAAUGCGCAGAUAUCAGGAGGAACACCCGUGGCGAAGGCGGCUCUCUGGGACGGUACUGACGCUGAGACGCGAAAGCGUGGGGAGCGAACAGG